UAGGGAAUCUUCCACAAUGGACGCAAGUCUGAUGGAGCAACGCCGCGUGAGUGAAGAAGGUUUUCGGAUCGUAAAGCUCUGUUGUUGGUGAAGAAGGAUAGAGGUAGUAACUGGCCUUUAUUUGACGGUAAUCAACCAGAAAGUCACGGCUAACUACGUGCCAGCAGCCGCGGUAAUACGUAGGUGGCAAGCGUUGUCCGGAUUUAUUGGGCGUAAAGCGAGCGCAGGCGGAAGAAUAAGUCUGAUGUGAAAGUCCUCGGCUUAACCGAGGAAUUGCAUCGGAAACUGUUUUUCUUGAGUGCAGAAGAGGAGAGUGGAACUCCAUGUGUAGCGGUGGAAUGCGUAGAUAUAUGGAAGAACACCAGUGGCGAAGGCGGCUCUCUGGUCUGCAACUGACGCUGAGGCUCGAAAGCAUGGGUAGCGAACAGGAUUAGAUACCCUGGUAGUCCAUGCCGUAAACGAUGAGUGCUAAGUGUUGGGAGGUUUCCGCCUCUCAGUGCUGCAGCUAACGCAUUAAGCACUCCGCCUGGGGAGUACGACCGCAAGGUUGAAAC
rnacentral:rRNA from 1 species